rnacentral:rRNA from 1 species
AACGAACGCUGGCGGCAGGCUUAACACAUGCAAGUCGAACGCGAAAUCACCUUCGGGUGGUGGAGAGUGGCAGACGGGUGAGUAACGCGUGGGAACCUACCUAGUGGUACGGAAUAACUCAGGGAAACUUGGGCUAAUACCGUGUGUGCCCGAAAGGGGAAAGAUUCAUCGCCACUAGAUGGGCCCGCGUCGGAUUAGCUUGUUGGUGAGGUAACGGCUCACCAAGGCGACGAUCCGUAGCUGGUCUGAGAGGAUGAUCAGCCACACUGGGACUGAGACACGGCCCAGACUCCUACGGGAGGCAGCAGUGGGGAAUAUUGGACAAUGGGCGCAAGCCUGAUUCAGCCAUGCCGCGUGAGUGAUGAAGGCCCUAGGGUUGUAAAGCUCUUUCGGCGGGGACGAUAAUGACGGUACCCGCAGAAGAAGCCCCGGCUAACUUCGUGCCAGCCGCCGCGGUAA